rnacentral:rRNA from 1 species
UACGAAGGGGGCUAGCGUUGCUCGGAAUUACUGGGCGUAAAGCGCACGUAGGCGGCUCUUUAAGUCGGAGGUGAAAUCCUGGAGCUCAACUCCAGAACUGCCUUCGAUACUGGAAGACUCGAGUCCGGGAGAGGUGAGUGGAACUGCGAGUGUAGAGGUGAAAUUCGUAGAUAUUCGCAAGAACACCAGUGGCGAAGGCGGCUCACUGGCCCGGUACUGACGCUGAGGUGCGAAAGCGUGGGGAGCAAAGCAGG